rnacentral:rRNA from 1 species
UACGGGAGUGGCAAGCGUUAUCCGGAAUUAUUGGGCGUAAAGCGUCCGCAGGCGGUCUGUCAAGUCUGCUGUUAAAGCGUGGAGCUUAACUCCAUUUCGGCAGUGGAAACUGACAGACUAGAGUGUGGUAGGGGCAGAGGGAAUUCCCGGUGUAGCGGUGAAAUGCGUAGAUAUCGGGAAGAACACCAGUGGCGAAGGCGCUCUGCUGGGCCAUAACUGACGCUCAUGGACGAAAGCCAGGGGAGCGAAAGGGAUUAGAUACCCCUGUAGUCCUGGCCGUAAACGAUGAACACUAGGUGUCGGGGGAAUCGACCCCCUCGGUGUCGUAGCCAACGCGUUAAGUGUUCCGCCUGGGGAGUACGCACGCAAGUGUGAAACUCAAAGGAAUUGACGGGGGCCCGCACAAGCGGUGGAGUAUGUGGUUUAAUUCGAUGCAACGCGAAGAACCUUACCAGGGUUUGACAUCCUGCGAAUCUUUUGGAAACGAGAGAGUGCCUUCGGGAACGCAGUGACAGGUGGUGCAUGGCUGUCGUCAGCUCGUGUCGUGAGAUGUUGGGUUAAGUCCCGCAACGAGCGCAACCCACGUCGUUAGUUGCCAGCAUUCAGUUGGGCACUCUAGCGAGACCGCCGGUGAUAAACCGGAGGAAGGUGUGGAUGACGUCAAGUCAUCAUGCCCCUUACAUCCUGGGCUACACACGUACUACAAUGCUACGGACAAAGGGCAGCAAACUCGCGAGAGCUAGCAAAUCCCAUAAACCGUGGCUCAGUUCAGAUCGUAGGCUGCAACUCGCCUACGUGAAGGCGGAAUCGCUAGUAAUCGCAGGUCAGCAUACUGCGGUGAAUACGUUCCCGGGCCU